GCAGUGGUAGUUCUGUAGUAGGAUUCCUGCCUUCAUGCUGGAGGCCCAGGUUCGAUUCCUAGCCAAUGCA
rnacentral:tRNA from 1 species